AGAGUUGAUCCUGGCUCAGAACGAACGCUGGCGGCGUGCUUAACACAUGCAAGUCGAACGUGAUCCGGAGCUUGCUCCGGUGAAAGUGGCGCACGGGUGAGUAACGCGUGGAUAAUCUGCCCUGGUAUCUGGGAUAACAUCUCGAAAGGGGUGCUAAUACCGGAUAAGCCUACGGACUCUUCGGAGUCUGCAGGAAAAGGUGGCCUCUAUUUAUAAGCUACCGUAUCAGGAUGAGUCCGCGUACCAUUAGCUAGUUGGUGGGGUAAUGGCCCACCAAGGCUACGAUGGUUAGCUGGUCUGAGAGGAUGAUCAGCCACACUGGAACUGAGACACGGUCCAGACUCCUACGGGAGGCAGCAGUGGGGAAUUUUGCGCAAUGGGGGAAACCCUGACGCAGCAACGCCGCGUGAGUGAUGAAGGCUUUCGGGUCGUAAAGCUCUGUCAGAGGGGAAGAAAUGAGUCUGGCUAAUAUCCAGAUUUCUUGACGGUACCCUCAAAGGAAGCACCGGCUAACUCCGUGCCAGCAGCCGCGGUAA
rnacentral:rRNA from 1 species